UUAAAAAAGAGUUAUAAUUAUACCUAUUUAAACAAAUCAAAUCUUCCAUAAAAGUCUGUAUUUAUCUUCUUUUUCAUUCUAGUUUGUUUCUGGAAACUUCCUUCCCAUUAUGUACUUCUACAAUACCCUUUCUUCUCCUCCUGUUAGAUGUGUGAUCUGGACCAAGAUUAUGAGAUAAAGUUGAAGCUGGAAAAGGAAACCGAAGCUGGGGCUUUUGUAAAGGGCACCCAAUUAAGACACACCAGUCUGUGACCAGAGAGUUGUAGAAUGAGUUUGGGCUUGGGAAAGAAAAUUGUUUUUUAUAGUUUUGCAAGUUUGUUUUGUUCCUUUUCAUGUGCUUUCUCAAUAGACUCUUGAAAUGCUAACCUUGGCUGUGCUGAAACAGGGAGAAAAAGGAUUUUCCCACAAGGCUAGACUAGUUCAUGGUUUAUUAUCGGAUGAGGGAAGGCAGCAGGUAUCACCAGGUGCAGCAUGGGAGGUGCGUGGGGCCUCCUGGGAAAAGGGGCAGGGAAGCUGGCUAACCGGGGCAGGUGCAGGGAACACAGAGUGUUCUUACCCCUGGGUCUUCUUCAAACGUAAGCUUUCUUUAAGUGGUGACUACUUUUAUUCUUCCCCAACUUAAGUUACAGAAUGACUUCAUACUGCAUAUCACCGGAGGCUGCCUUCUGGGCAGGAUGAAUCGCUAGCCUGGAAAGUUCUGACCUUUCUGGGCAUAAGGGUGAGCGCACCAGAGCGGGAAGAAUGCUCCUCGUUCCGAGAAACCCAGUUCGGGAGAUACGCUGUCUCCUAAUCUACCUGGUCCUUCAACUAUGCCUUCCGGCUUCAACCAAGUGAAGAUUCUACAAAAUCAAGGUUUGCAUAGUUGCCUCCUUUGGACAGUCAACAUUGCCAGACAAGUCAACUCAGCCAACAAACUACCCAUUUGUCGCCAGUGAGGGCAUUGUCUCUCCAGAACCGUAUUUUAUCAGAGGCAUCACCUGUGAGCUUGAAAUGAGCCUAGGAUCCUGAACACAUGUGUCUUAUGUGCUACUCUAGGGUGCACUUCCUACCAGAGCACUCAAAUGACUUAGUAAAAGUGACACACCGGAUAGAAGGGUUUGGCCCUUCAGCUUCGAGACUAGGAAAAUGAGCUGCUGGGAACGGCUGCUGCUGUGUGGCGGCCGCUGCUCUAGAGGCGAGCAUGCCUGGCGUUUCUGCGAAC